rnacentral:rRNA from 1 species
AGCGAACGCUGGCGGCAGGCCUAACACAUGCAAGUCGAACGAACCUUUCGGGGGUAGUGGCGGACGGGUGAGUAACACGUGGGAACGUGCCUUUAGGUUCGGAAUAACUCAGGGAAACUUGUGCUAAUACCGAAUGUGCCCUUCGGGGGAAAGAUUAAUCGCCUUUAGAGCGGCCCGCGUCUGCUUAGCUAGUUGGUUGCGGUAAUGGCUCACCAAGGCGACGAUCAGUAGCUGGUCUGAGAGGAUGAUCAGCCACAUUGGGACUGAGACACGGCCCAAACUCCUACGGGAGGCAGCAGUGGGGAAUCUUGCGCAAUGGGCGAAAGCCUGACGCAGCCAUGCCGCGUGAAUGAUGAAGGUCUUAGGAUUGUAAAAUUCUUUCACCGGGGACGAUAAUGACGGUACCCAGAGAAGAAGCCCCGGCUAACUUCGUG